UUAAUUCUCCGUUGGAAGAGUGGCGAGGUUUUAACAAGUAAGGAAGUCAGCCGCUGGGAGCAGAAUCUCACCUCUGCAAAGCCUCGCGAGAGCUCACUUGCCUGACAAACCGAGGAAGGAAACCCUGUUUUCACACACAAGGCAGGGAUACACGCCAUAUUGCCAAACAGAAGUCACCAGCGCCGCAGCCUUCUGAAUGAAGAAAAGUGAAGUUCCUCAAGACACAAGGCUCCUUCCUCCUUCAGAGAGGAGGAAGUGCAGCCCGGAAACCAUAGCAACCUCUGCAAAAUGGUUCCUGUAAUGACACUCGCUCAAAAUGGCCAGGCUUCCAGGUUGCUAAGACUUGCUCAUAUGCUAAUGUGUUGGAAAAUGUCUGGAAUCUCGGGAAUAUGGCGAUCUCUUUCUGGUGCAGCAGUCGCCACAGGCAGUUUCUACAGAACAAAACCUACAGCAGGCACAGUGCCCUGACCAGAGAAAAUAAAAACAAACCGGGAGUCAGCAGAACACAGGACUUUUUCCAAGGGCUUGACUUGUAGUGUCAUGGUAAAUGUCUCAUUCAACAC